rnacentral:lncRNA from 1 species
GCUUAUUUGAGAAAUAUUAAGAAUGGGGCCACAGUUUGGGUUUUAGCAACUGAUUGGAAAGUGAUGCCAUUCACAUUGGACACGUUUAAAUUUGAGACGCUAGUGGAACAACCAUGUAUAGACACCUACUCGGCAAUCCUGCAUAUGAUCUCAACAUCAGAAGAGAGAUGUGGGCUGAUGACACAGAACUGAGAAUAGCCAGCGUUGCCACUGGGAGUAACCAUCACAUAUGUGGCAAAAAAGGCCAUUGGCGCAGAUAUAAUCACCCAGGCGGGAUGUGUAAAAUGGAAAAAGAAGGCAACCUAGAAGCAGGAUUCAACGUAUCAGAUACAGUAAUGAAGACAAUAAGAAAUUGGAUUGAUCCAGGUCUGGAGUUUUGCCACAGAGUGAAAUGGAACAACAAUAUGCAGGAGAAGUGAGGAUACUGAAUUCUACUUGAAAAUUAUACAGAAACAAUUUCUUAGAAUGCUCACAAAAGACCUGAAAACAUGGGGAGGAAGCAGGGCAUUUACAGCAGGUCUUCUCUGACACUGUGCUGGUGGGCAGGGAGCCACCUCAUUACUACCAGGCACAGCUUAUAACUCAUGCAAAACAACAUGCUGCAAUGUUCUGAUGAAAUGCUCCUCUACAGUCGAGGCUCCCAGAAGGCAGAGAGCAUAUUCAUUAACUCAUUCUGCUCAACACUUAGCUCAUGUCCAUGGAGAGAUGUUGAAUAUGAGCUCCUAUUAAAAAGAGGGAAUACAAUCAAUCAUUUGAGAAUGUCCAAAAAGAACUUUUCCUUUCCAUCGAGCCUUACAAAUUAUUCUAAGAUUGUUUCUGUAAAUACCAUGUAAUUGGGAGAGAUACACAGGGAGCGUCAAUUGUGUCUGUAAUGUUUUACUGCUUAUGAUAAAAAGAUCUGAAACUAAUGUGACAAAAUACUAAGAUUUCACAGAAUUCAGUGUUGAGUGUCCUCUAAGUUAUUAUCUUUAUUCUUCAAAUAUUUCAUAAGGAAAAAGAUGGUGGGAACUUACAAUAUUUAUUAUUUUUUUGGAGAAUGGCUGGAUAAUAUACAUUGAAAUCUGCUAAGAAUUUACCAGAAGGAAGGAAAGAGAAACACACACACACACACACACACACACAGAGAGAGAGACAGAGAGAGAGAGAGAGGAAAAAAAAAUAUAUCCUUGGAAUGCCAAGCCCAAAGAUGCAAGUCUAUCUGCCGAUUUAUAAAAGCAAAUAAAGAGAAACCAUCUAA